CGUACCGAUGUAAUUGAAGGACUUUCCUACAAAAGACAUUAGCUUGUCACAGUACAUACGUUAAAAGAACCGAUAUGAAAGUCUUUGAAAUGCGACUUCAUAGAGAGAUUUAAAACGGUCGUGGACACAAUCUGGCCUGUCAAUCUUGCGAUCGUUCGGCUCGGCUCCCAUUGAAAUGCGAUCUGGCACUUAAAAAUUCUUAUAUAAACGAUGUGGAGAACUUCGCAUGUAAUGGAGAACAACAAGGUGAAAAUGUUAGAGGAGAUUAUUAAUUGACGGUGUUCUAUGAAAUCUUUGUACAAGAAGGAAAUAAAACAAGAACAUGCAACUGUGCUUAGUUUUCUUUAAAGCAUUGUGAGCAUUUUAUUCAAUAUAAAAUAUUUAAUUUGAUUUUAAAAUGUUAAUAACCAAAUCACGAUUUAAAUAUUAAAGCAGUAAAACGAAUCGCAAUAAUUAAUAUAUUUCAAGUGAUUAUA